CUCAGGAGAAAGCCAUUUUUCUAGGCAGGGAUCCUAGCCUGGGUGAGGCAGGAGGGAGCAUUUCUUCCAGAGAAUUAACAGCAAAUGCAAGUGGCUGGUGUCUUGAAGCCCAGGGCAUGCCAACUGGUGUAUUCAAUUCAUCUGGGUCAUCACAGCCCUCCACAGAGCUGCUGCUUUUCGUGCUAGGUGGCUCACUGGUAGCAUUACUCACCAGGAUGCCCAUGCAUCUCCACAACAUGCUCAUGUCGUUUCAUAUCUUCUGCCAAUCCCAGUGCUCUCAGCAAGAAGGUUCAUUCAACAUCAUGAUCCCACUGAUGGAAAGCUUACCACGAUGUGACUCCUCACAAGCCCCUCACUAUCUGCAGCUGACUGCCGAGCAGGGCUGCUCCCUCCUGGGUCAGUUCUUUGCACCAGCUUCUGAAGUACAGGGUGUCCACGGCUGUUGCAACAAGGAGCCAGCCACACUAACCCAGAAAGUUAAUCAAGAACUGCCUAUGGGUUGUAUCAAGUGUAUUUUCCCUGACAUGUGCUGCAUGCUACACAUGUUCAUUUGCAUUUCCAUCAGUCUUCCCAUCUCCCCUUCAAUUCCUCCUGUCUGUAUGCAAUCCUUCAAACACUUCCCCGCAACACAACCACUUCAGAGUCUAAAGAGCACAAAAGAUCCUGGGAUUAACCUGAAUAUUAUUUUACUUUACUUACUAGAAAUGUCAUUCAGACACAUAAGCCACGGAGGGAAAUCCAUUAGCUGCCCAGGGUGCACAGCAGAGGGUGGUGGGGCCAGCGACACAGCCAAAGCAGUGCACCAGCUUUCACAGUUAUCAUGCUAAUUAAUAACAUAAUUAAAUGAAGAGAAGCUCAUUACUGGAGUAUCAAGAGAAGGGACAGAGAUACAAAUGUAGUAAGAAAGGGACUGAAGGAAUCUCCUUUGCUGUCAAGCCCUCUUUCUUCUGAUUCCUAUCACACCAGCUUAUUAAAGCCUGUCUUAAAAGCAGUGGCUUUUCCCUUGCUCCCCCGGGGAGGCUGUUAAAGAGCUUCCCUCAUCAUAUAUCAAGGAAUCUCCUCAUUUGCAAACAAAAUUUAUACUUAGCCAGUUUGUUCUUGUACUGUAGCUUAAAUCAUCUCUCCCUCACGAAGCUUUCUCUUUCCCAUGAACAGCAGCCACCUCUCUUCUCUGAUAUUUAUUGCUGAGCAGGCUGCAGGAGCAUCCCCUCCCUCAGCAGCUCCUUUGUCCCGUGUGUCCUCAGUGCACUUCUCCAUGGCUGCAAGCCCCAAACUCCUCAGCCUGCACAGAAAUCUAGCAAUGC